rnacentral:rRNA from 1 species
GACGGAGGGGGCUAGCGUUGUUCGGAAUUACUGGGCGUAAAGAGCACGUAGGCGGCGGUGCAAGUUGGGGGUGAAAUCCCGGGGCUCAACCCUGGAAUUGCCUCCAAAACUGUGCUGCUUGAGUUCGGAAGAGGAGAGUGGAAUUCCCAGUGUAGAGGUGAAAUUCGUAGAUAUUGGGAAGAACACCAGUGGCGAAGGCGGCUCUCUGGAACGGUACUGACGCUGAGACGCGAAAAGCGUGGGGAGCGAACAGG